UUUUCCUUAUCUUACCAAGUAUGAGAUCUAUUAUUUAAGGGAGAAGAGAUGUAUAUGGCACCGAUAAUUUUUUUUGUGAAAGAAGAGUGUAAGAGAAGAAAUAUAUAUAUGGUAAAAGAGUAUAUAUACAUAAUGAUUUAUAACAUUAAAAAAAAUCAAAAGUAAAUAAGUGGCUAGUGUGCACUGCGUUUUUCGGUUGGACCGUAUUGUAAAGACCUGACUUCAAUUUGAAACGUGGUCUAUGCCUUUUCAACCCUUUUUUGAAAUCCGCAGUUUACUUUAAAAAAAAACACUGAUUUCUGAAAAUGUGUUGAAUUGUGACAUAUGUUUGGUUUUCAAUGAUAACAAAUGAAAAACGCCAAAAAGCUUUCCUCAUUCACUACCUUAAGCUCUGCAUUGUCAGUUGCGGUUUAAUUGCAGAUAAAUAGGCUGAUUGGUAACUAGUGUUAAUUUUGGCUGUAGAGACUUUAACUGUAAAAAAUUUAGCUGCAAAGAAUUUGGCUGUAGAGACUUUGGCUUUGAAAACUUUAUGUGUUAAAGUCUGAUCGGCAACCGAAAGCUGUAAAAGCUGUUAAUUUUAUUAUUUAUU
rnacentral:sRNA from 1 species